GCGAGAGUGGCGGAAUUGGUAGACGCGCCAGAUUUAGGAUCUGGUGUCUUGCGGCGUGGGGGUUCGAGUCCCCCCUCUCGCACCA
rnacentral:tRNA from 1 species